rnacentral:lncRNA from 1 species
UGCUAUGCACUGAAUUCUCAGAUUCCGUCUAUUCUCUAUUGAGUUCAUACAUAUUAGUCAGCAGCUGUAAUGCUAGUAACAUUAUCUCCACACAGCACCUCACACUUUACAAAACUCCCACAGAUACUUUCUCUCGUCUACUUCUUACCACCACUCUGAGAAGUCAACAGGAAAAGGAUCAUGCUUUGUGUGGAGGAUAAAGAUGGAAGUUUUACUCCAGGUACUAGAAGCACCUCAGAGGCUCAAAGGGCGGCUUUAAAAACCCACUACAGACUUGGGGGCUUAAAACAACUCUUCUGGAGGUCUGAAGUCCAAAAUCAAGGUGUCCACAGGGCUGUGCUCCUUCCAAAAGCUCUAGGUGAGAAUCCUCUCUUGACUUUUUAGCUUCUGUUAAUGCCAGGCCUUCCUUGGCUUGUGGUGCAUAACUCCAAUCUCUGCCUCCAUUUUUACAUGGUCUUCUCCAUGUGUCUCUUUCUUU